AACGAACGCUGGCGGCAUGCCUAACACAUGCAAGUCGAACGAGACCUUCGGGUCUAGUGGCGCACGGGUGCGUAACGCGUGGGAACCUGCCCUUAGGUUCGGAAUAACUCCCCGAAAGGGGUGCUAAUACCGGAUAAUGUCUUCGGACCAAAGAUUUAUCGCCUUUGGAUGGGCCCGCGUUGGAUUAGCUAGUUGGUAGGGUAAAAGCCUACCAAGGCGACGAUCCAUAGCUGGUCUGAGAGGAUGAUCAGCCACACUGGGACUGAGACACGGCCCAGACUACUACGGGAGGCAGCAGUGGGGAAUAUUGGAAAACGGGCGAAAGCCUGAUCCAGCAAUGACGCGUGAGUGAUGAAGGCCUUAGGGCUGUAAAGCUCUUUUACACGGGAUGAUAAUGACAGUACCGGGAGAAUAAGCUCCGGCUAACUCCGUG
rnacentral:rRNA from 1 species